AGGGCAAGUCUGGUGCCAGCAGCCGCGGUAAUUCCAGCUCCAAUAGCGUAUAUUAAAGUUGUUGCAGUUAAAAAGCUCGUAGUUGAAUUUCGGGGUUAGUAGGUUGGUCAUGCCUCAGGUAUGUACUGAUCUCACUGGCUCCUCCUUCCUGAUGAACCGUAAUGCCAUUAAUUUGGUGUUGCGGGGAGACUGGACUGUUACUUUGAAAAAAUUAGAGUGUUUAAAGCAGGCUAACGCUUGAAUACAUUAGCAUGGAAUAAUGAAAUAGGACGUUCGAUCUUAUUUUGUUGGUUUCUAAGAUUGACGUAAUGAUUAAUAGGGAUAGUUGGGGGCAUUAGUAUUCAAUUGUCAGAGGUGAAAUUCUUGGAUUUAUUGAAGACUAACUACUGCGAAAGCAUUUGCCAAGGAUGUUUUCAUUAAUCAAGAACGAAAGUUAGGGGAUCGAAGACGAUCAGAUACCGUCGUAGUCUUAACCAUAAACUAUGCCGACUAGGGAUCGGAUGAUGUUAAUUUUUUAAUGACUCAUUCGGCGCCUUACGGGAA
rnacentral:rRNA from 1 species